rnacentral:rRNA from 1 species
AGUGAACGCUGGCGGUAGGCCUGACACAUGCAAGUCGAACGGCAGCACAGUAAGAGCUUGCUCUUACGGGUGGCGAGUGGCGGACGGGUGAGGAAUACAUCGGAAUCUACUUUUUCGUGGGGGAUAACGUAGGGAAACUUACGCUAAUACCGCAUACGACCUACGGGUGAAAGCAGGGGAUCUUCGGACCUUGCGCGAUUGAAUGAGCCGAUGUCGGAUUAGCUAGUUGGCGGGGUAAAGGCCCACCAAGGCGACGAUCCGUAGCUGGUCUGAGAGGAUGAUCAGCCACACUGGAACUGAGACACGGUCCAGACUCCUACGGGAGGCAGCGGUGGGGAAUAUUGGACAAUGGGCGCAAGCCUGAUCCAGCCAUACCGCGUGGGUGAAGAAGGCCUUCGGGUUGUAAAGCCCUUUUGUUGGGAAAGAAAAGCAGCAGGUUAAUACCCCGCUGUUCUGACGGUACCCAAAGAAUAAGCACCGGCUAACUUCGUG